UUCUAUGAAAAGUUUUUUGAGAUAGGGAGUUCUUGAAAAAUUUUCUGAGAUAGGGCGUUUUCUAACUAGCUGCCGAGAUGGGUCGAUCUCCCGCUCAG